rnacentral:rRNA from 1 species
UGAACGCUGGCGGCGUGCCUAAUACAUGCCCGUCGAGCGAACGGACGAGAAGCUUGCUUCUCUGAUGUUAGCGGCGGACGGGUGAGUAACACGUGGAUAACCUACCUAUAAGACUGGGAUAACUUCGGGAAACCGGAGCUAAUACCGGAUAAUAUUUUGAACCGCAUGGUUCAAAAGUGAAAGACGGUCUUGCUGUCACUUAUAGAUGGAUCCGCGCUGCAUUAGCUAGUUGGUAAGGUAACGGCUUACCAAGGCAACGAUGCAUAGCCGACCUGAGAGGGUGAUCGGCCACACUGGAACUGAGACACGGUCCAGACUCCUACGGGAGGCAGCAGUAGGGAAUCUUCCGCAAUGGGCGAAAGCCUGACGGAGCAACGCCGCGUGAGUGAUGAAGGUCUUCGGAUCGUAAAACUCUGUUAUUAGGGAAGAACAUAUGUGUAAGUAACUGUGCACAUCUUGACGGUACCUAAUCAGAAAGCCACGGCUAACUACGUG